rnacentral:rRNA from 1 species
AUUGAACGCUGGCGGCAGGCCUAACACAUGCAAGUCGAGCGGAUGAAGGGAGCUUGCGCCUGGAUUCAGCGGCGGACGGGUGAGUAAUGCCUAGGAAUCUGCCUGGUAGUGGGGGAUAACGUCCGGAAACGGGCGCUAAUACCGCAUACGUCCUGAGGGAGCAAGUGGGGGGUCUUCGGACCUCACGCUAUCAGAUGAGCCUAGGUCGGAUUAGCUAGUUGGUGGGGUAAAGGCCUACCAAGGCGACGAUCCGUAACUGGUCUGAGAGGAGGAUCAGUCACACUGGAACUGAGACACGGUCCAGAGUCCUACGGGAGGCAGCAGUGGGGAAUAUUGGACAGAGGGCGAAAGCCUGACCCAGCCAUGCCGCGUGUGUGAAGAAGGUCUUCGGAUUGUAAAGCACUUUAAGUUGGGAGGAAGGGCAGUAAGUUAAUACCUUGCUGUUUUGACGUUACCAACAGAAUAAGCACCGGCUAACUUCGUG